GACGAACGCUGGCGGCGUGCUUAACACAUGCAAGUCGAACGGAAAGGCCCUGCUUUUGUGGGGUGCUCGAGUGGCGAACGGGUGAGUAACACGUGAGUAACCUGCCCUUGACUUUGGGAUAACUUCAGGAAACUGGGGCUAAUACCGGAUAGGAGGUCCUGCUGCAUGGUGGGGGUUGGAAAGUUUCGGCGGUUGGGGAUGGACUCGCGGCUUAUCAGCUUGUUGGUGGGGUAGUGGCUUACCAAGGCUUUGCCGGGUAGCCGGCCUGAGAGGGUGACCGGCCACAUUGGGACUGAGAUACGGCCCAGACUCCUACGGGAGGCAGCAGUGGGGAAUAUUGCACAAUGGGCGGAAGCCUGAUGCAGCAACGCCGCGUGCGGGAUGACGGCCUUCGGGUUGUAAACCGCUUUCGCCUGUGACGAAGCGUGAGUGACGGUAAUGGGUAAAGAAGCACCGGCUAACUACGUG
rnacentral:rRNA from 1 species